CGACUCUCGGCAACGGAUAUCUCGGCCCUCGCAUCGAUGAAGAACGUAGCGAAAUGCGAUACUUGGUGUGAAUUGCAGAAUCCCGUGAACCAUCGAGUCUUUGAACGCAAGUUGCGCCCCAAGCCAUUAGGCCGAGGGCACGCCUGCCUGGGUGUCACG
rnacentral:rRNA from 2 species